UGAUUAAGGCAAUGAUAAUGGUCUAUUAUGGUAUUAUCAUGAAAAUUAUCAUCAUUAUCCUGAGUGUUUACUUCCGUUUUCCCUACACUUUUCAAUCUAAGCAACUCAGUCAAUCAUGAAAAUGCACAAAUGAAAUGAGUAAAUCAAAUAACAAAAAAUUGAUAAAACCCUGAAUAGAGCAACAAAAAAAGACGAGAUUGAAAAUGAAUGUCAACAUUGAAUAAGCGACUCGCCUUGUUUCAACUGUUGCCCUGAAAGAUGGACAGAUGAAUCUAAAAUUAUAAUAAGAUGAUUUAUAUGAUUGUCAACAUUAGUUCAUGGUUAAGAUCUCCUGUUGAUUGUUUAAAUUGUUUCAUUAGCUGGUAAAAUGAUAUAAAAAAAUGUAAUAUAAAAAGGCUUAACCUUGCCCAAUUUGUUGCUGCUGCUGCUGUUAGCUGAUUUUUUUGGUUCCCUUGAUUGUUACCUUCAUUAUUGGUCAGUGCGUGUUUGGGUUAAAGCUUGUUUCCCAUUUACAAUUGUUGUUAUAUAUCUACUGAUUCCUCUCAUUGUAGUUAGUAUAAUCAUAAUAAUAAUAAUAACUUAUUUAUUGCAAUUAUUAUUAUCUUUGAUGCAAAAAGCAAACCUGUUGACCUUGCAUUUUCUCAGUCUCUUUAUUCUGAAUUUUACCAUGCUUGGUGUACAUUUAUACUUCAUGAUAUCAAUAUAUUUUUCUUCUUCUUCUUCCCAUUAAACAUUAUUAACAUUAUUCCAGCUAUUAUUAGUAUAAUUAUUAUUAUUUAUUUUUUAUUUUAUCAACUUGCAAUUUCUCAGGUUGACAACCAUUGUACUUAAUAUACCUUCCCUCUAAGCUGUUAAGGCCUAAGCUUUUUUAUGCUGUGUAAUGAUUACUUGUAAGACUUUUGAUUGUUAAUUUUUUUAUUUUGCUUUUCUUUUGCCUUUAAUUUUAAUUUUGUUGCUUCUUUUUUUUUAUUUUUCUCAUGUUAAUCUGCUUUAGUUGAAUAAUUAUUUGUAUUAAUUAUGUUGCUCUUUCAUCGUCAGGUUGUUACACUUUCAGUUAACUCUUUUUUUGUUUGUGUAUCCUGUUAAUAUACCAUGUAAACAUCAAGAUCAAGUUUCUCCGGGUUAAAAUCAUCUUUAGCUUCUUCUUUUUUUCAAUUUGUGAUCAUAUUUACAGAAGAUGGUUGAUAAUGAUUUUGACUGGCUUGGUUCUUGUAGUUUGCUUGCUUACUUAUCUGCUGGGAAGACUGACUAAAUGCAACAAAUGGUGGAUGUUAAUAAUAGUACAAUGCGAGUGAAGACAAAGUCACAAUUUGAUAUUAAAUAAACUGACAUUUGAUUCGACAACAACUGGUAAAAUACAAUUGUUAAUUGAACCUAAAGAGCAUAUAUGAUUGUCAUCGAUGAAUGGAGCAAAAUAAGCCAACACUGGAAUCAACAAACAGUCAACAGAGGGAACAAUCAGUUUUAAUCAAAUGUAAAGGGAGGACUUAACCAACUUGAAUUUUGCCGUUUCGUUUCCUUCUUUUUCAUUGGGUUCAUCCUUUGCUCGUGUACGCUUUUUUAUUCAAUUUGAAAGAGAGUACAGUAUUCGUCAAUUAAUUUCAUUGCAUACUUUCAUCCUGAUUGUUGAUGGUGAUGACAAUUAUAAUUAAUUAUGUAUUAUCACCAUGAACCACACCUAUUAACCGGUUAUGUUUAUUGCAGUUAAUUUUCAAUUGUGAAUAGCAACAUCAACGGCAAACAAAGGAAAGCCAUUAGGAAAAAAAGACAAUGUUACUCUUUUUUUGCAUUGCAAUAGCAGGUUCAGUCGUAUGUUUAGUUGAAAUUGUUAAUUAAACAGAAAUUUGAAACUGUUUCUAUUACAAUCAAAUAUAUAUAUUAUAUAACAACAGAAACAACAACAGCAAAAAAAAUAG